CUUGGCUUGCCCUUCUCUGCCCACUGAAAGCUGGCUCAAAAACCCACCUCCAAGAAGGCUUCAGCAUGCCUCUCUUAUUUGUGGCAGUCCAGCCACCGCUCUCAGUUGGCUCCCGGUUGUCUCUACCUCUUGUCCCUUUCUGUAGACGCUCUUUGAGUCUGCAGGACUCUGUUCUUUCCUGCACUUCCCAGUGGCCAGCAGAGGGCGCCUCCAAAAAGACUGAGGCACCAGGGAGGAAACGGGAGAAUCCGCUUCCCUGGAUCCAGGGACAGUCCGUUUAUGUGAAAUGAAACUGACCCAGGACGCCUUCCUUCCUGGGGCUCUAGACUUAACCUGUCAGCAGAGGACUAGAGGUUAGAUCACAGGCUGAACUCAGGUGACUGCCUUAGAAGUGAACCCAGGAUGAGGGAGCUGCCCCCUCCCAACAGCCGGAAUGGGGAAGGGGCAGUGGAGGUCGCCAGCUUUCCUCCCUUGACCCUGGGAGAUGGGUUGGGAGGGGCUGCACAGAAUAGCUGGUGUCCCACCCUCUAGGAGGGGCUGCUGUGGACAUCUGGGCAACAUCUGGAUUCCUGGCAGGACAGGGAACUUGUCUAUUUGAGAUCCUCCAGGGAUAUACCAUCCACCCCUUGGUGGCCCCUCAGCACUACAUUCCUGGGGAGCUCUUUACAAACAGGUGUAUAGGACCCAGCCCCGUAAUGUGGGUGAAUUCAUGCCAAUCUAGGAGGGUCCUGACAUACGUCCUUCGGAUGUGGCCUAGGGGCCUGGGCAGCAGCCUGCUCUUCUGGGCUAUUCCACCUUUCCGCCUCCUGCCCUCCUGUCGGAGUGCGCACGGUGAGAUGCUUGUCUUCCCUGUGUGGAAAUGCUGGGAAAUAGGAGGCUCUGGUGUCCAUCCUCUCCAUUCCCCUUCCUCCAGACCCUCAGAUCUCUUCGGGGUGACACAGCCGUCGCCCUCAGCCCCUCCUCCUCGGCCCUGCUAUAGGCACUGACAGUCUUCCAGGGGAGAGGACAGGGAGAACCCAAUGCCCACAGAGGGUUAAAUGACAGUACUUGGCCUGAGCCAGCCAUGCCAUCGGAGUCACCUGGCCGGGCUAGUUGGUGGCUUGCAGCAGAGCCUGAGUGCCAGGGAAUGGAGCUGCUCUGUGGGUUUGGCCCCAGGGAAUGGAGUCCAGGAUGAUGGGCUUCAGCCAGCCAGAUAGAAGACAUUCUCAUCAUUCGAUGGAAGGACACUUGGAGCUCUGCUAGGUGAAGGGGAGCAGCACCUUCCUCGGCUGCGGCGCCUGCUGGUUCACUUCCUCACUACAUCACUGCACCCAUUUUACAGACGAGGAAACAUCGGCCCGGAGAGGGACUUCACUUGGCCUAUAGCACGCAGUUCCUGGCCCUGAGCCCGUGUUGGUCAGACCCAAAAGCCACCAUUCCUGUGGGGUGGGAGGCUGAACAAUGUCCAGUCCCGUCCCUGCUCCUGCUGUGUUCUGUUGGGGAGUGGUGUGGCUCUUGACUCAGCCUGCCUGGGUUUGAAUCCUGACUCUGUCCCUACCACCUGUAUGGUAUGGCUCUGCCAGCCCUGGCCCUGCACUGCUCAUGUCACAACCUGUGGGCACCUCCUCUGUACCAAGGGUGGAAUAGAGGCAGCCUGGCAGGGUCUGUUCUGAGUCUGGAUUCUCCUGCUGGCUGAUGCCCAGGGCUGCCUCCCCUAUGAACGUGACCAGGUCCUAUGUGCACAUCCUGGACAAUGUGCUGGCAGGAGGAAGAAGGCUGCUCCACAGGCACCCCACCACAGCCCUGUCCCACUGGAAGCAGCCUCCUACCCCCAGCACCUGACUUCCAAGCACAGGGAGCUGGUGCCAAGCACUGAGGAGGCUGGGUGGCCCUGAAGUGAUGACUUCUGGGGUGGGAAGUCUAUAAAGAAGGGGGCAUUUCUGUCUCAGGGAUCCUGUGGUUGCUCCCCUACUGGCAACAGCAGAAAUGGCACAGGAGGGGGCUCUGUGGCAUUCACCGUGUCUUCUCUCAGAGUCCAGAUGGGCACCUGGGAAAAUGCUAUUGAAUGAAUGGCCGUGUCCAUCCUCCCCUAGCGCCCCACAAUCACCAGCCUCCCUCCUCCACACUCUGUCCUUUACAGACUACAAGGACUGAGUUAUUCUUAGUAGGUUUCAUUCAUCAAAGUGUGACAAACGGUGUCCUGGGAGGAAUGCUUGGGCCGUGAGGAGAGCCAGGGGAGUGGGGUGGGGUGCAAAUGCCACAUGUGUGGGGAGAAUCUGAUGAUUUCAAGGAGCCCCAGUAUGAGGGGAGACACGGCCCGACCCUCAGGGAGCCCCAGUCUGAGGGGAGACACGGCCCCGUGUUCGGGGAGCCCCAGUCUGAGGGGAGACCCAGCCCUGUCCUCAGGGAGCCCCAGUCUGAGGGGAGACACGGCCCCGUGUUCGGGGAGCCCCAGUCUGAGGGGAGACACAGUCCUGUCCUCAGGGAGUCCCAGUCUGAGGGGAGACACUGCCCUGCCCUCAAGGAACCUCUAGUCUCAUGGCAGAAAUUAGCUGUCAUCCCUGCUGGAGAAGAUAUGGUGCCUACCCAAGGCACAGACUGAAACUCAAGACGUAAAAAGGAGGUACUAGAGGGGUUUCUAGAAGCGUGUUCAGCCACCACUGCCACCGCAUGGGGGGAGACAAAAAGGGGGGUCCCAGUGACACUCACCUCGCAGGCUUAUGGAGAAACACGCAAAGAUGACAAAGGGUGGCAAUAGUGCGGACUGAGAUCCUAGCAGCUGAGGAAAAGGGUGAAGGCACAGGCCAGCUGGGCUGGUCUAAAUCCCGUGUUUCACACUCAAAAGCCUCAGGGACCAGUCUGGCCACACUGGCCUUUCCCUACGGGGAGGCAGUCGGAAAGCCCACACUGUCUGCAGGAUCUCAUCUUCAAUACAAAGACCACAUCCUCCCACAGGCCGCUCCACACCUCACUAAAGAUUAACCCUGGCCCAAGGCCGCGAGCCUGCGACUCCCUGGACACCAGGGAAGAAUUCCCGACAGAGGAGAGGUUUGAGCCUGGUUGGAUAAAGAAGUAGACAGCCAAGUUGCUCCCCCUUAGUCUUGGCUGCCAGGCCUGGCUUUGUGUCUUCAGGGCCUCCUCCCACCCUUCCUGGGAUGGGAGACUGAAGCCACCCGUUGCCAGCUCCCUUGUGACGAACAGGCCACAGCUGGUCGGCUGCCAAGGGCUCCGGGUCUAUGAUGGGGGAUCACCUUUCUUUGCAGGAACGUAAUGCCCUCGCCAAGGGAAGGAGACGGUGGGGCGUCAUAGAGCCACCCUUAAAUGAGCUGAUCUGGAAGUUUGGCUUGGUGGCCUUCCCUGAGAGCCUUUACUGUUUUGUGCCUCAUACGCAAUAUGGGGAUACUGUUGCCCUGGUGCCCUACCCACUCCUCCCCCGGACAGUUAGCUUUCCAAUAGGCCUCAGUGUCCAUGUCAACGAAAUGGGUCCACCGUCCCUACUCUCCCAGUCCCUUCCAGCAGAGAUCUCCAGGACUGUAGGCUUACAGGGAGGGAGGGGCUGGUCCCCAAGUCCCGCACCUCCCCUCUCCCCACUCCAAGUGGGGGUCGCAGAACUCUCUCCUGGGACUGCGGGGCAGUCCCGGAGGGCAGCAGGGGGCGGCGGGCUGAGCGGAUGCGCGCUGUCCUGGGCACCAGGGACAGGUUCAGGGACCGGGGAGGGGCGGCCUAAUUACGGCAUGUUGGCCCAGCGCCGCAGAGCGCCGCGAACGAGAGCGGCAGUGGGUAAUUAGAGAGCAUUAGCCGUGCCCCUGCAAUCCUGUAAUUUCUCCGCGCGCUCCGGGUGUGUUGUAGGAGGUGAAGCGAUGCGGGCUCGGCUCUGAGUCAGACUCUCAGAAGCCCGGGUGGGGACACAGGGGGCGGCAGAGGCCGCGGAGAAGGGACUCCUGCCGUAGGAGGCGCCGGCGCCUUUCCCUAGCACGAAGUCACCCGUCCUGGGGCAGCUCGCGGGGCGCCCACUUCCGCGGACACAGGAGGGCGGGGCCAGGAGGGGCGUGGCCUGCUCCUCCUCCCGCCUCCAGGGGGCGCUCCUCGGUCCAGCGGAUCUUCUCGGGGGGCAUCGAGUCUAGUUCCCGGGCACGCAGGCAUGUGGCCUGCUCUCUGCGCGCAGGUGGACUGAAAGAGAUGCAGAUGCAGUGCACGAGGCAGAGGCGCCCCGAGUCCCGUCAGACAUGGGCAACAGACGUAGGACAGCAAGAGAAAAAAAAGCAGAGACAUCUGAAGGGAGUGGGGGCGCUUGUUUCACCCAAGCCCUGGAAUCAAUUCUCGGGGAGCAGGGAGGAGCCAGUGGGGGACUGAGGCUGGGAGGGGAGUUUAUUUAUUAGCCAGAUUAGCUAGCAUUAAUGGGGGAGCCGUGGUGGCCGGCGGCGGCGGGGACAUAGCUGGCAUAACUGGCAUAGCGGCGGGGCCUCCCGCGGCGCGGGGCUCUGGCGGCUUCAAAGGGGCUUAGGGAGGCCCGUGGUGGCACUGCCACGGCCCCGCGGGGGAGGGCGUGGGCGCUGGCGGCGGGGGAGAAGGCGGCCAUUGUGCACCGAGGGAUUAGGGAUCUGGCUUGGAAGGAAUUUUAAACUGCUGCAAGCCGGCGCCCCAGGACUCCCCCUCCCUCCUCACAGCUGCUUUCCAGAGCACGCUGAGGUGUUUACCUGCAUUUCCGUGUAUGGGAGUCCCCCCUCCUCCCUCAAAUUGGAGGCAUCUAGGGCUCUCAGAUUUGGCAAAUAAAAAUACGGGACGUCCAGUUAAAUUUGAAGUUCAAAUAAACAACGAAUCAUAUUUCAGUACAAGUAUAUCCCCUACAACAUGUGGGGCAUACUUAUACUAAAAAAAUUAUUCGUUGUUAGUUUAAAUUUACCUGGGCAUCUUGUAUUUUUUUCUAGCAGCCCUACAGUCACCAAAAUGUCUAACCUGUGUUUGCAACAGAUUGGGGGCUCCGGAAAAAUUCGCUGGGGUUGUGUGUCCCUACCCGCAGACUACGACGUUUCCUACAGCCAGCUGGGAGAGAGAGAUUUGUAGACACAGCGACUCGGAGACACACAGGGAAGAUGGACACAUGAUGAUGGAGGCAGAGAUUGGAGUGAUGCAGCUGUAAGCCAAGGAACACCGGGGAUUGCUGGCAAACGCCAGGAGCUAGGAGAGAGGCAUGCAACAGACUCCCUCAGAGCCUCCAGAAGGAACCAAACCUGCUGACACGUUGAUUUUGGACUCUGGCCUCCUUAACUACGAGAGAGUAAAUUUCUGUUGGUUUAAGCCACCAAGUCUGUGGUAAUUUGUUAUGGCAGCUCUAGGAAACGAAUACAGUCACACACACACACGUGCACACACACACACGCACACACACACAUGCUGCUGGCUCUAGGCUCAGUGACGAGGUUGGUGGAGUUCCUCUUGGGAGCUGCUCUGCCUCUGUCCUCCUUCCCCUGUGGCUGGUCCCAUGAACCCAAAAAAGCUCAUGGCCCAGGGCAGGAGCAUGAUAAUUUUCAAUCCCUCCUUCCCUCCCUGGAGUUGUUAACUAAGCAUCCCCCUCAAAAUCUGCUCUCAGGAUGGGUUGCCAUGUUUACGUGCACUGAAAGACAUGUCCAAGAAUGCUAUGGCUGCUUUACUGCUAUUAAUUAAAAACUGGAAACAACCCAAAUGUCUAUCAACAGCAGAAUAGAUAAUAAAUUGUGGCAUAGCCACGCAAUGGAAGGCUGCUCAGACAGGAAAAAGGAAGACGUAAUGCUGCAGGAAUAGCAUGGAUGACCCUCACAGACCCCACACUGACCACACUGGGCCCCAUACAAAGAAUGUAUGCUCUGGAGUCCGUGUGCGUGAGGUUCAAGAACAAAGCCAACCCGUGGUGAUAAA
ensembl:lncRNA